ACGGCGAGUGAAGCGGCAACAGCUCAAAUUUGAAAUCUGGCCUUCUGGUCCGAAUUGUAAUUUGUAGAGGAUGCUUUUGGUGCGGUGCCUUCCGAGUUCCCUGGAACGGGACGCCUUAGAGGGUGAGAGCCCCGUACGGUUGGACACCUAGCCUCUGUAAAGCUCCUUCGACGAGUCGAGUAGUUUGGGAAUGCUGCUCUAAAUGGGAGGUAAAUUUCUUCUAAAGCUAAAUACCGGCCAGAGACCGAUAGCGCACAAGUAGAGUGAUCGAAAGAUGAAAAGCACUUUGAAAAGAGGGUUAAACAGCACGUGAAAUUGUUGAAAGGGAAGCGCUUAUGACCAGACUUUUUCCUGGCGGAUCAUCCGGUGUUCUCACCGGUGCACUUCGCCAGGUUUAGGCCAGCAUCGGUUUUCGUAGGGAGAUAAAAGCUUUAGGAAUGUGACUCCUCCGGGAGUGUUAUAGCCUAUUGUAUAAUAUCCUUAUGGGGACCGAGGUUCGCGCUCUGCAAGGAUGCUGGCAUAAUGGUCAUCAGCGACCCGUCUUGAAACACGGACCAAGGAGUCGAACAUUUGUGCGAGUGUUUGGGUGUUAAACCCUCACGCGUAAUGAAAGUGAACGGAGGUGAGAGCCUUAGGGUGCAUCAUCGACCGAUCCUGAAGUCUUCGGAUGGAUUUGAGUAAGAGCAUAACUGUUCGGACCCGAAAGAUGGUGAACUAUGCGUGGAUAGGGUGAAGCCAGAGGAAACUCUGGUGGAGGCUCGCAGCGGUUCUGACGUGCAAAUCGAUCGUCA
rnacentral:rRNA from 1 species